CGUUGAAACUAUAAAUUUGUAAAGCGGCACGAAGCAGUCAUAAGUUUUCAAUAACUGCUGAAGUGAGCGCGGGAUGUCUUCAGCAUUCUUAUAAAUAUACAAGAGGCAGUCUAUCAAUGUAAAUCUUUGAAGAUUAUAUUGGGGACAGUCAAAGAAAAUGUGAUCAAGAGUUUGGAUGGAUAAAUUACAGAAUUGACAAGUUGGAGAAUCUAAAACACCGAUCCUAAAUAAAUGAGGACCACUACGAGAAUGUCCCAGACGUAACCGACAAAUUGUGGUGUAAAAUUUUCUGUGGACAUUUAAGGAUAGAAGAAUGAAUCAUAAUUGUUCUAAAUCAACAUUAUUAAUUGCUCCUACAACAUCCAAAAAAACACCAGCCAAUAUCUUAUUGUCAAUCUGGGCACUAUGGAUGUCAAGACAUAAAUGCCGUAUACUCUCACAAGCAGAACGACCACAUCGAAAUCCAAAUUGAUUAUUAGAUUGCUGUGUGGAGGAAUGUUGGAUGGAAUUGAAGAAGAUUCAGUUUCCGACACUACCAUGGAAAAUUUUGUGAUUGUAGGCAAGUGAUAGCUGCCCAAAGAGUCCUGAUGAACUUGCCAUUCACAGCACAGGAAUAAUGAAGAUGAUACUAUUGUUAGAUCUAGUCCAUUAGGUCUCCAAGAAUUAGUACCCACUGUAGUUGGUUGAUCAUUAUUUAAGAGCAUUAAGUCAUUAUCGUCCAUUACAUCCAUGAUGUCUCUACCUCUAGAAUUGGUUCUAUUACAACCCCAAAUGGUAUGGUGAGCUUUAAAAUCACCAGCAAUUAUUAGUGGUUUUGGAAUACUAUGCAACAGUCUAUUAAAUUUAGAUUUGUCAAAGUUAGGUACACUGUUGCCAGGACUAUAAAAGCUAACAAUUGAGAUGUCUUUUUGUUUGUAUUUAAUUUUGAUUGCUACAUUUUGCAAGGAAUUAUCAGAAAAUGUUUCUAACUUUUGAAAAUAAAUGCCAUUUCUAACAAAAAUUGUGAUCAUUACCACAAUCAUUUCUUAGUAUUGUAUAACCUCUGAUAGAAAACUGUAUAUUUGGUUUAAGCCAAGUUUCUGAUAUAAGUGCUAUGUGUAUAUCCUGCUCAUAAAGUAGGUUUUGAAGCUCAAGUCUGUUACUCAACAGACUUUGAGCAUUCCACUGUACUAUGUUAAGUUUGUGACAGUUGAAUGUGAUGUUUUAUUUUUAAUUUGUAUGGUAUCUUUAAUAGCUGAACUAAUUGCUUUGAUUCUGUGUUUUAUUUAAGUAAUGACUUUUAUUAUUGAUUCUGUGAUUAGGUUCAAAGCUGCUGGAUUGGAUAAAAUUAAAUUAAUGAUGUCUUGUGUGUUCUCUGUCCUAUUGAGUGAUAGAAAGUUUGUUGGAUGUUUAAAUAAAUCUGAUAAUGGUGUUUUA